UUACAGACACACAACAAACACGUUUUAGUACCAGUAAUUGUAAACAUAUGAUCAAACCGCAUGUUCAGUUUUGGAUUGUUUGACAUGUAUUUCCAGUGCUAUGUGGUCACAUUAAUGACUGUGCAUUGGAAUAAAAACUCAAAAUGAAUUUUGGCCUGUAGAAUGUUCACAUCCCUCUCCACAUCUAUGCUUUUGGGGGAAAGGUGUGCACUAUAUUCAAGAAAAUACUGUUCAUUUAAGUGUUGCCUUCAUGUUGACUUAAUGCUGUCUGUAAAAUGUUUAAUAAGACCAUUUAUACCCAAGAAGCUGCUGUUAUCAUAAUACAUAUCAUAUGUUUUAUAUUGUAUAUAUAUUACUGGACAUACAAAAUAACAGGUUGGGGUCCCCUCACAUUAAUGGCAACUAUUUACUAAUUAACAGUCAGGUAGUAAUCUAUACCUAACAACCUUCAAGCUCAAUUUGCAAAAUAUUCCAAAUUACAUCUCACUGAGAUUAAAUU